rnacentral:rRNA from 1 species
AGGGUGUAAACGCUGCGGGCUUGGUGUUGGGGUCCUUAGUGGGCGCCCAGUGCCGGAGAGAAGUUGUUAAGCCUGCUGCUUGGGGAGUAUGUCCGCAAGGAUGAAACUUAAAGGGAAUUGGCGGGGAGCACCGCAACGGGAGGAGCGUGCGGUUCAAUUGGAUUCAACGCCGAAAAACUCACCAGGAGCGACGGAUAUAUGAAGGUCAAGCUGAUGACUUUACCUGAUUUUCCGAGAGGAGGUGCAUGGCGUAGUCGUGU